rnacentral:rRNA from 1 species
UACGUAGGGUGCGAGCGUUGUCCGGAAUUAUUGGGCGUAAAGAGCUUGUAGGCGGUUUGUCGCGUCUGCUGUGAAAACUCGAGGCUCACCUCGAGACGCCGGUGGAAACCAUCAGGCUAGAGCCGGAAGAGGAGAGUGGAAUUCCUGGUGUAGCGGUGAAAUGCGCAGAUAUCAGGAAGAACACCCGUGGCUAAGGCGGCUCUCUAGUACG